GGAGCUCUGCUCCCGGAUGUUAGCGGCGGACGGGUGAGUAACACGUGGGUAACCUGCCUGUAAGACUGGGAUAACUCCGGGAAACCGGAGCUAAUACCGGAUAGUUCCUUGAACCGCAUGGUUCAAGGAUGAAAGACGGUUUCGGCUGUCACUUACAGAUGGACCCGCGGCGCAUUAGCUAGUUGGUGGGGUAAUGGCUCACCAAGGCGACGAUGCGUAGCCGACCUGAGAGGGUGAUCGGCCACACUGGGACUGAGACACGGCCCAGACUCCUACGGGAGGCAGCAGUAGGGAAUCUUCCGCAAUGGACGAAAGUCUGACGGAGCAACGCCGCGUGAGUGAUGAAGGUUUUCGGAUCGUAAAGCUCUGUUGUUAGGGAAGAACAAGUGCGAGAGUAACUGCUCGCACCUUGACGGUACCUAACCAGAAAGCCACGGCUAACUACGUGCCAGCAGCCGCGGUAAUACGUAGGUGGCAAGCGUUGUCCGGAAUUAUUGGGCGUAAAGGGCUCGCAGGCGGUUUCUUAAGUCUGAUGUGAAAGC
rnacentral:rRNA from 1 species